GCUGAUACCAACCAUAUAUGCUCCAAAAGGAAUCAUCCAAGAACCUAUGAACCAAAAUGAGACGAUCCAAAGAAGCAUAACCUGAAGGAUGGUCUCAGCUGUCCAUGGGACUGUCCAUGGUUUUCCGGUCACCUUAAAUACUAGAUCUGCAGCCUCUCUAAAUCGCGAAAUCCAGUUUCUUUUCUCCACACUUGGUUUAUCAAUUUCCGGGUUUUUCAAUUCCUUAUGUAAAAAGUCAUCAAUAGACUCAGGGUUGGAGGAACCUGAAGACGAUUCUUCAUUCCUAAAGCAUGAAAUUUUCCACCUCUUUGUAGAAAUCCUGUGAUGGGGUUCAGAGAUUCUGAUUCUGUGUGAAAGUGUGGGCAAAGAUUUGGGACAAAAUGUUGAAACCCUAAAUCUAGGAGAUGAAUUAGAAAGAAGAGGAAAAGAGUGAGUACAAUUGGAGCUCAGCAUGAG
rnacentral:misc_RNA from 1 species